rnacentral:sRNA from 1 species
GCCAGGUAUAGUGCUGCACGCCUGUAAUCCCAGCUACUUCAGAGGCUGAGGCAGGAGGAUUACAAGUUGAAGGUCAGUCUCAGCAAUUUAGUGAGAACUUGUCUCAA